rnacentral:rRNA from 1 species
AGGAUGAACGCUGGCGGCGUGCUUAACACAUGCAAGUCGAACGAUGAAGCCGGAGCUUGCUCUGGUGGAUUAGUGGCGAACGGGUGAGUAACACGUGAGUAACCUGCCCUUGACUCUGGAAUAAGCGUUGGAAACGACGUCUAAUACCGGAUACGAGCUUCAGCCGCAUGGCUAGGAGCUGGAAAGAAUUUCGGUCAAGGAUGGACUCGCGGCCUAUCAGGUAGUUGGUGAGGUAAUGGCUCACCAAGCCUACGACGGGUAGCCGGCCUGAGAGGGUGACCGGCCACACUGGAACUGAGACACGGUCCAGACUCCUACGGGAGGCAGCAGUGGGGAAUAUUGCACAAUGGGCGCAAGCCUGAUGCAGCAACGCCGCGUGAGGGACGACGGCCUUCGGGUUGUAAACCUCUUUUAGUAGGGAAGAAGCGAAAGUGACGGUACCUGCAGAAAAAGCACCGGCUAACUACGUGCCAGC